UGGGAACAUGAGAGGCUGUCAGCAGCAAGAAAAUCCCAGAAUGACUUGAGGAUGAGCCGUGAUUGAAACGGAGGACAAGGAUCGCCUCCGAUUGAAUUAGUUCUGUUUGAUCAGCAGUAAUUCAAUGUGCUGGUCUGAACGCUUUCUCAUCCGUCUCAUGUAUCCACGAGGCGGAGAGGCGCCACCCACAUCAGGCCGCCUGCACCGGGUAUCUGCAGAGAGAACGCAGCAGCUCCACCAGGCCGGGAGCUGCUGCGCGUUUCACACCACGACGCUCACUGCUCGUCUAUUUGCCUUGAAAACAGAAUCAAACAGCGUGCGCCUGUAGCGCUGGGGCCUGUAAGGGCCUCUGGGUGCGGCUUUGGACUGAGGAAACACAGUUCUGCCAAAUCAGGUCAGCUGUCAGCCAUAAGGUUACCGGACUGAAGUCAGCUGAGAGAGUGGAGAAACAGCGGGGCGUUGGAAGAAGCUGAAAAGAUGGACGCCUUCGACAGAGAUGUGAAGAGAGUGUGUAACUUUCUAACAACACAAAGAGGAGGAGGUUAACUCGAGGUGCGUGUGUGUGACCUGUUUCAUGUCAGAUCAUCAGCCUGUAAAAUGUGAAAGCGCAACGCCUGUGUGCAAACUGCCCCCCAGUGGAGAGACUGUGAAUGACGUGGAAACUGGUCCCAGUAUUUGUUGAGGCUCCAACCUGGGUACUGCUGCAGCUAUGUGUACGGACAAGGUAAUCCUGGACAGAACUGUACUGCAGAGGGGAGAUGGCUUCAAAUGUUACAGAAUCUUUCCUGGUUCAGCAGGUGUCGUGUGUGUGUGUGUUAUGUUUCUGUCCGUGGAGAGAAGUUCUCAUCACACUGCCUCUGCCUCAUCUCACAGCGCCGUGGUGAAGGCUUGUGUGGGCGGGUGGGUGGGGAGGGUCAGCUGGUGUUGUGAAUCAGGCCGCUGAGGUGUCAGAGACGGCUUCUUCACAACACCAGGGUUCCUCCCAGCCAUUUCCUGCUGGAAUACAUCAGUGAUCUCCAAGAGAGCUGGGCUGAAAUAAACCCUGAAGUCAUUUCCACAGUUGGAAAAAAAUGCUUUUUUCACUCUGAUAGAAAUUGACACAACGGCCACGAGUUUGCUUUGAUUUUUGUUGAAAUGUUGAUUGAAAACUAUUUAACCAAUAUGAAUUAUAAACUGAACUUGACUUCAUUAUCUGCAUUUCCACUGACCAUAUAAUUGCAAAAAUUGUAAUUAUAAAAAUAAAGCAGCUUAUUGGAGACACGCCAAUUAAAAAAAAAAGAAAAAAAAUUAAUUUAAAGAUUUUGUGCUAGAUACACUUAAAUUAAUGUAUUUUACAAAACUGCAGUGGAAACAUUUUUUGCAUCAUGGGAGUGACGUGAUCAGCAGCUGGAUGUUACUACUGGCAAAAAAGAAGAUGACAACGACAAGAAGUGGUAGGAGGAGGAUGACUUUGCAUGGUUUUUAAAUAUCACAUGAACUGACUUAUGUAUGUGUGAUUUUAAAUGUGUUUUGUAUUUAACAGAAACUCUGCAACUGCAGAAUUGUGUUUUUUUUUUUACAUUGGCAGAAUACUGAUAAAGUUUUGCGCACAUUUGUAACAGAAACACACCUACUGUUUGAUAACUAUAAUAAAUAUGGAGUGGAUAUAAUUGACUCGUAAUGUCUGUAUUAUUGAAUUAAAUUGAUGUGUUUUUUAAAGUGUCUUGAGAUGAUCAAGUGUUCAAUAAACUCAAUUGAAAAUGUGACCAUUGGGUAUUGAUCAGCUUUCUGACCGAGGUCCUCAGUCAACUGGCUUUACCAGCCGGACUCCAGUCAAGUCCCAGAAAUGCCUAUCAGGUGAACCUGAUCUCAGUUCUGAGUCUUAUAAAGAGUGUGACUACUUAUGCAUGUAUUAUGUUUGAAUGUUUACAUUUUUAUUAUUAUUUUUUUUAAAUAUCUGAUAAGGAAAAUAAACCUUCCACUUCUAUUUUAAUAAAUGAACAAUGU